rnacentral:sRNA from 1 species
AUACAAAGGUCACAAGACAAAUAGUUUCGACGUGCUUGCACGGGAGAAACUAUUUGCCUUGGUGACCUGAACGAUAUGAGCAUAAAAGUAUAGCGAAAGCUAUACGAUAUGCGAAUAGCGUUAAGGAUUGCGGGAGUGCUCGCA